AACUCGACUACAUGAAGCUGGAAUCGCUAGUAAUCGCGAAUCAGAAUGUCGCGGUGAAUACGUUCCCGGGUCUUGUACACACCGCCCGUCACACCAUGGGAGUUGGGAAUGCCCGAAGCCGGUGACCUAACCGAAAGGGAGGAGCCGUCGAAGGCAGGCUUGAUAACUGGGGUGAAGUCGUAACAAGGUAUC
rnacentral:rRNA from 1 species